CGUCUGGUAGUGCUACGUUGGGUACAACCAAUGGUCAGUUCUGUCCCGAAGAUGAAAUUGCUGGGGAUCAUGUAGACGCAAAGGCAGUGAGAAGAAGACACUCCACCCUGCUGCUUUUCAGUCCUUCAAGUCCAGAACCUCACCUUUAGUCAAAAGACUUGGCACUUCUGCUCGAAGUCCUAAAAAGAGUCGCCGCUAAGGUCUGCCAGGGGAGCUGAGGAACAGGCAUCCAAGAAAAGGUGCCAUGGCAACCAGGAUCCUCCUCACAGCCGAUCAGUGUGGAGAGAGCACAACUGAAGGUUCACAAUGAAUUUCAGGCCAAAUUCCAACGCUUGGGGCUCUGUCAGCCUUGAGGUUCCUAAACCGAGUUCUCAGUCUUGAGCAGUCUUCAGUAUUAAAACCACUGUCCCGUCACCUCAAUUCACAUCGCUGUCUUCCAUGGAACGUUUCAAUAACUGUACUGUUAUUUAUAGAGCAGCC
rnacentral:lncRNA from 1 species